rnacentral:rRNA from 1 species
AUUUCCUGAGUAGCGGCGAGCGAAACGGAAAGAGCCCAAACCAAGAAGCUUGCUUCUUGGGGUUGUAGGACACUCUAUACGGAGUUACAAAAGAAAGUUAUAAAUGAAGCGGUCUGGAAAGGCCCGCCAAAGACGGUAACAGCCCGGUAGUUGAAAUGGCUUUCCCUCCAGAGUGGAUCCUGAGUACGGCGGAACACGUGAAAUUCCGUCGGAAUCCGGGAGGACCAUCUCCCAAGGCUAAAUACUCCCUAGUGACCGAUAGUGAACCAGUACCGUGAGGGAAAGGUGAAAAGCACCCCGGAAGGGGAGUGAAACAGUUCCUGAAACCGUGUGCCUACAAGUAGUUAGAGCCCGUUAAUGGGUGAUAGCGUGCCUUUUGUAGAAUGAACCGGCGAGUUACGAUUUGUUGCAAGGUUAAGCGGAAAAAGCGGAGCCGUAGCGAAAGCGAGUCUGAAUAGGGCGCAUAAGUAACAGGUCGUAGACCCGAAACCAGGUGAUCUACCCAUGUCCAGGAUGAAGGUAAGGUAAUACUUACUGGAGGUCCGAACCCACGCACGUUGAAAAGUGCGGGGAUGAGGUGUGGGUAGCGGAGAAAUUCCAAUCGAACUUGGAGAUAGCUGGUUCUCUCCGAAAUAGCUUUAGGGCUAGCCUCGAGGUAAAGAGUCAUGGAGGUAGAGCACUGUUUGGACUAGGGGCCCUUCUCGGGUUACCGAAUUCAGAUAAACUCCGAAUGCCAUGUACUUAUACUCGGGAGUCAGACUGCGAGUGAUAAGAUCCGUAGUCGAAAGGGAAACAGCCCAGACCACCAGUUAAGGUCCCCAAAUAUAUGUUAAGUGGAAAAGGAUGUGGGGUUGCUUAGACAACCAGGAUGUUGGCUUAGAAGCAGCCACCAUUGAAAGAGUGCGUAAUAGCUCACUGGUCGAGUGACCCCGCGCCGAAAAUGUACCGGGGCUAAACAUAUUACCGAAACUGUGGAUGAACCUCUUUAGAGGUUCGUGGUAGGAGAGCGUUCUAAGGGCGGUGAAGUCAGACCGGAAGGACUGGUGGAGCGCUUAGAAGUGAGAAUGCCGGUAUGAGUAGCGAAAGAAGGGUGAGAAUCCCUUCCACCGAAUAUCUAAGGUUUCCUGAGGAAGGCUCGUCCGCUC